UACAGAGGGGGCAAGCGUUGUUCGGAAUUACUGGGCGUAAAGGGCGCGUAGGCGGCCUGCUAAGUCGAACGUGAAAUCCCCGGGCUCAACCCGGGAACUGCGUCCGAUACUGACAGGCUCGAAUCCGGGAGAGGGAUGUGGAAUUCCAGGUGUAGCGGUGAAAUGCGCAGAUAUCUGGAGGAACACCGGUGGCGAAGGCGGCAUCCUGGACCGGUAUUGACGCUGAGGCGCGAAAGCCAGGGGAGCAAACGGG
rnacentral:rRNA from 1 species